rnacentral:rRNA from 1 species
GACGAGUCUGACGAACGUUAUUCGGAAUUACUGGGCUUAAAGGGUGCGUAGGCGGUGGAGUAAGUCGGAUGUGAAAUACCUUAGCUCAACUAAGGAACUGCACUCGAUACUACUUUGCUAGAGUAAGACAGAGGUGAGUGGAACUGAGGGUGGAGCGGUGAAAUGCGCAGAUAUCAGGAGGAACACCGGUGGCGAAGGCGGGUCUCUGGGCCGAUACUGACGCUGAGGAGCGAAAGCGUGGGGAGCGAACAGG